rnacentral:rRNA from 1 species
CCCAGACUCCUACGGGAGGCAGCAGUGGGGAAUAUUGGGCAAUGGGCGCAAGCCUGACCCAGCAACGCCGCGUGAAGGAAGAAGGCUUUCGGGUUGUAAACUUCUUUUAAGAGGGACGAAACAAAUGACGGUACCUCUUGAAUAAGCUCCGGCUAACUCCGUGCCAGCAGCCGCGGUAAUACGGAGGAUGCGAGCGUUAUCCGGAUUUAUUGGGUUUAAAGGGUGCGUAGGCGGAGUGUCAAGUCAGCGGUAAAAUUUCGGGGCUCAACCCCGUCGUGCCGUUGAAACUGACACCCUUGAGUGAGUGAGAAGUAAGCGGAAUGCGUGGUGUAGCGGUGAAAUGCAUAGAUAUCACGCAGAACGCCGACUGCGAAGGCAGCUUACCGGCGCUCAACUGACGCUGAGGCACGAAAGUGCGGGUAUCGAACAGGAUUAGAUACCCGAGUAGU